rnacentral:lncRNA from 1 species
AUGGCUCUUGGGGAUGUGUUGGCAUAGAAGUAGAGGAGUCCUUCUGCUUGAAGGCUUUUCCACACCCAAUUACUUUCAUAUAAAGAAUUAAUUAUUUAGAGGAAAUUAUGGGACGUCGCUUUGGAUGUUUUUGUGCCAAACAUUAUUUUUCUCUCUAGCCUCUUAAUUCUUACACACCUAGGAUUAUGGAAUCAAAAGAAGAAAGAGUCCUUCUACUCCUAAACUUUCCCACACACCAAUUUACUUAUGGUGAUUUAUUUCACCGCAUGAGGAAUAUGGGACGCCAAAGGUUGGCAUCCAUUGGAAGUAGGAUAGUUCCCCUUCUUUUCUAUUUAUAGGGGGUGCUACAUCUGGUUCCAUGUCCCAAUAUGGGCUGAGGAUAGGUGUGAGAAUGAGAGAAAAAAGGGAGAAAAAGUUUGAAAAAAGAUAAGAAAAAAAGGGAGAAAGAAAAAUAGAAAGGA